GACGAACGCUGGCGGCGUGCUUAACACAUGCAAGUCGAACGGAAAGACCCUGCUUUUGUGGGGUGCUCGAGUGGCAAACGGGUGAGUAACACGUGAGUAACCUGCUCUUGACUUUGGGGUAACUUCAGGAAACUGGGGCUAAUACCGUAUAGCAUCUCCUGCUCCGUGGUGGGGGUUGGAAAUUUUCGGCGGGCGGGGCUGGAUGCGCGGCUUACGAGCUUGUUGGUGGGGGAGUGGCUGACCAAGCCUGUGACGGGUAGCCGGCCUGAGAGGGUGACCGGCGACAUGGGGACUGAGAUACGGCGCAGACGCCUACGGGAGGCAGCAGGGGGGAAUAUUGCACAGUGGGCGGAAGCCUGAUGCGGCAGCGCUGCGUGCGGGAUGACGGCCUGCGGGUUGUAAACCGCUUUCGCCUGAGACGAAGCGUGAGUGACGGUACUGGGUAAAGAAGCACCGGCUAACUACGUG
rnacentral:rRNA from 1 species